UACAGCCAUAUUAUGUUGAAACACUGGUUCUUGUAUGAUCACCAAAGUUAAGCAAUGUUGAGCUUGGUCAGUACCUAAAUGGGUGACCACUAGGAAAUAUCAGGUGAUGUAAG